rnacentral:rRNA from 1 species
AAUAGAUACCCAGGUAGUCCACGCCGUAAACGAUGAGUGCUAAGUGUUAGAGGGUUUCCGCCCUUUAGUGCUGCAGCAAACGCAUUAAGCACUCCGCCUGGGGAGUACGGCCGCAAAGGCUGAAACUCAAAGGAAGUUGACGGGGACCCGCACAAGCGGUGGAGCAUUGUGGUUUAAUUCGAAGCAACGCGAAGAACCUUACCAGGUCUUGACAUCCUCUGACCAUCCUAGAGAUAGGACCUUCCCCUUCGGGGGACAGAAUGACAGGUGGUGCAUGGUUGUCGUCAGCUUGUGUUGUGAGAUGUUGGGUUAAGUCCCGCAACGAGCGCAACCCUUGUCCUUAGUUGCCAGCAUUCAGGUCGGGCACUCUAAGGAGACUGCCGGUGACAAACCGGAGGAAGGUGGGGAUGACGUCAAAUCAUCAUGCCCCUUAUGACCUGGGCUACACACGUGCUACAAUGGAUGGUACAAAGGGCUGCGAAGCCGCGAGGUGGAGCCAAUCCCAUAAAACCAUUCUCAGUUCGGAUUGCAGG